rnacentral:lncRNA from 1 species
GUGCCAGGGUACAGACUCUUAAUUCCUUCUGGAAUACUGAGAGUGCCGGGAAAUGACAGCUUCAUGUUCAGGGUACGUCUUAGUUUGUCUUGGAUCUUGUGACAGGGACAGCUGCAUUAGUCUUGGAGUGAAAGUGUAUCUGAGUAUGUUGGGCCACAUUUGCAGUAGUUUGUUCUGAGCUCCAGAGCUAUUGACCAAGCCCGUCCUGCCUUCUGAGGUAUGGAAGACACUGAGGCCUCCUGACCCACGGCACAGCAUUCUCUGCUUCCAGCGCGUCUGCCCUGGGCCAUCACCCCAGAGAGUUUGAUCAAGACCCAAGCCUAAUCCAGGUCCUACCCUUCUCAGCCCCCAUCCCACUUGGGUUUAUUUACUUAUUCAAACAAACAUCAAAUGAGCAUCUACAUAUUAGGAUUCUAGAUAGGGGUGUGGGGUCAGUGUGCAGGGACAGCAGCAUAGAAGAGGGACUUUGGUUGAGACUUGAAGGAUGAAUAGGAGUUUCCAAAGGGUCAAAGGAUAGGGAGUUAUUUGAGGAAGAAGAAACUGCAUACACUACACAAAUGUACAGAGGACCCUGGUCAGCCAUGUGGUUGGAGCACAAAGUGAAAAGUGGGGAGAGAGGGAGAAGAGAGACUUGAACAGGGAAGCAGAGAACAACAGAUGGAAGAUCUUGUAGCUGAGCUAAGAAGUAUGAAUUUUUUUCCCCUAGGAUGGAAAAACACAGAAGUUUUUUCAAAUUUCCAAGUAGGAAGUUAUGAUUUCAAAAAAAAGAAAAGAAGGCUUUUUCUAAUUAGAAAGGUCAGGUUAGUGGCAUUGUGGAAGAUGGAUCGGACAGGGGACCCAGGGAGACUAGUCAGUCUAGCCAGUCAGCCAACAAGCGCUUUGUAAGUUCUGUAGUGGGUUAAAUAGUUGCUUCCCCAACUCCAAAAGUUAUGCCCAUGUCCCAGAACCCGUGAAUGUGACCUUAUUUGGAAAACAGAACUUUAAAGAUGCAAUCAAGUUAAGGAUCUCAGGAUCCCUGAUUAUCUGAUGGGCCUUAAAUCCAAUGGCAAAUGUCCUUAAAAGAAACACAUGCAAGAGAAGGCCACUGAAGACAGAGGCAGAGAUUGCAGUGAUGCAGCCAUAAGCCAAGGAAUGCCCAGAACUGUCAGAAGCAGAAAGAGCAGAUUCUCCCUUCAAGCCUUCAGAGGGAGUGUGGCCCUGCCGACAUCUUGACUUCAAACCUCUAGCCUCCAGAACGAUGAGGAUAAAUUUAUGUUGCCUUACGCC